UCUCUCUCUCUCAAAAACCAGGCGACGGAGGGGUUGUCUGCUCCGGCGCCGGCGGCAGAGAAGAGUGCCGUCACCGGCGACGGCACGGCGGAUACAGAACAACCGACGGGUUGCCGGAGCAGCCCCGUCGCCGUCCUUCCCGGCAGAAGCUCCCGCCGGUGAGCUAACGGCAUCACGGCCACGGCACGGCGGCGCGGGGGAUGCGCCGGCGAGUUGAGGAGAUCACGUUGGUCGGGGUGAGGACAGCAGGAGCCGACCAGCUCAUCGCUGUCUGGACCCCGACAGUCAGACCCCGAUUUGUACUGAACUCAAUGCCGUCAAUCUAC
rnacentral:lncRNA from 1 species